CAGCAGCCGCGGUAGGACGAACCGUGCGAACGUUAUUCGGAAUCACUGGGCUUAAAGAGCGCGUAGGCGGAUUGCUACGUCGGUGUCUGAAAUCCCCCGGCUCAACCGGGGAAGUGGAUCCGAUACGGGCAGUCUUGAGGGACGUAGGGGGGGCUGGAACUUCCGGUGGAGCGGUGAAAUGCGUUGAGAUCGGAAGGAACGCCCGUGGCGAAAGCGAGCCCCUGGACGUCUGCUGACGCUGAGGCGCGAAAGCUAGGGGAGCGAACGGGAUUAGAUACCCCAGUAGUCCCUGUCUCUUAUU
rnacentral:rRNA from 1 species